rnacentral:tRNA from 1 species
GGAGAGGUGGCCGAGUGGCUUAAGGCACAGGUUUGCUAAACCUGCGUAGGUUCACCCCUACCGAGGGUUCGAAUCCCUCCCUCUCCG